GAUGAACGCUAGCGGCAGGCUUAACACAUGCAAGUCGAGGGGUAUUGGUUUUCGGACCAAGAGACCGGCGCACGGGUGCGUAACGCGUAUGCAAUCUACCUUUUGCAGAGGGAUAGCCCAGAGAAAUUUGGAUUAAUACCUCAUAGUAUAGUACUUUGGCAUCAAGGAACUAUUAAAGUCACAACGGCAAAAGAUGAGCAUGCGUCCCAUUAGCUAGUUGGUAAGGUAACGGCUUACCAAGGCUACGAUGGGUAGGGGUCCUGAGAGGGAGAUCCCCCCACACUGGUACUGAGACACGGACCAGACUCCUACGGGAGGCAGCAGUGAGGAAUAUUGGACAAUGGGCGCAAGCCUGAUCCAGCCAUGCCGCGUGCAGGAUGACGGUCCUAUGGAUUGUAAACUGCUUUUGUACAGGAAGAAACACUCCCUCGUGAGGGAGCUUGACGGUACUGUAAGAAUAAGGAUCGGCUAACUCCGUGCCAGCAGCCGCGGUAAAG
rnacentral:rRNA from 1 species